AGCAGUAGCCGCGGGAAAACGUAGGUGGCAAGCGUUGUCCGGAAUUAUUGGGCGUAAAGGGCUCGCAGGCGGUUUCUUAAGUCUGAUGUGAAAGCCCCCGGCUCAACCGGGGAGGGUCAUUGGAAACUGGGAAACUUGAGUGCAGAAGAGGAGAGUGGAAUUCCACGUGUAGCGGUGAAAUGCGUAGAGAUGUGGAGGAACACCAGUGGCGAAGGCGACUCUCUGGUCUGUAACUGACGCUGAGGAGCGAAAGCGUGGGGAGCGAACAGGAUUAGAUACCCCAGUAGUCCCUGUCUCUUAUAC
rnacentral:rRNA from 1 species